rnacentral:rRNA from 1 species
GACGAACGCUGGCGGCGUGCCUAAUACAUGCAAGUAGGACGCAGUUGCGAACGGGUGAGUAACGCGUAGGUAACUACCUAUUAGAGGGGGAUAACUAUUGGAAACGAUAGCUAAUACCGCAUACUAGUAGAUGGACCUGCGUUGUAUUAGCUAGUAGGUAGGGUAAUGGCCUACCUAGGCAACGAUACAUAGCCGACCGGGGAGGGUGAGCGGCCAAACGGGAACUGAGACACGGCCCAGACUCAUACGGGAGGCAGCAGUAGGGAAUCUGCGGCAAUGGGGGGAACCAUGAACGAGCAAAGCCGCGUGAGUGAAGAAGGGUUUCAGAUCGUAAAGCUCUGUUGUGAAGGAAGCGGUAAUUAACCAGAAAGGAACGGCUAACUACGUGCCAGCAGCCGCGGUAAUAC